CCUACGGGAGGCAGCAGUGGGGAAUCUUGCGCAAUGCGCGAAAGCGUGACGCAGCAACGCCGCGUGGGGGAAGACGGCCUUCGGGUUGUAAACCCCUUUCAGGAGGGACGAAGGUCAUACGGUUAAUAGCCGGCAUGACUGACGGUACCUCCAGAAGAAGCCCCGGCUAACUACGUGCCAGCAGCCGCGGUAAU
rnacentral:rRNA from 1 species